GGAAGGGGUGUAUUUAUUAGAUAAAAAACCAAUGCCCUUCGGGGCUUCUUGGUGAUUCAUGAUAACUAAACGGAUCGCAUGGCCUUGCGCCGGCGACGGUUCAUUCAAAUUUCUGCCCUAUCAACUUUCGAUGGUAAGGUAUUGGCUUACCAUGGUUUCAACGGGUAACGGGGAAUUAGGGUUCGAUUCCGGAGAGGGAGCCUGAGAAACGGCUACCACAUCCAAGGAAGGCAGCAGGCGCGCAAAUUACCCAAUCCCGACACGGGGAGGUAGUGACAAUAAAUACUGAUACAGGGCUCUUUCGGGUCUUGUAAUUGGAAUGAGUACAAUUUAAACCUCUUAACGAGGAACAAUUGGAGGGCAAGUCUGGUGCCAGCAGCCGCGGUAAUUCCAGCUCCAAUAGCGUAUAUUAAAGUUGUUGCAGUUAAAAAGCUCGUAGUUGAACCUUUGGCCUGGCUGGCAGGUCCGCCUCACCGCGUGCACUUGUCCGGCCGGGCCUUUUCUUCUGGAGAACCGCAUGCCCUUCACUGGGUGUGUUGGGGACCAGGACUUUUAC
rnacentral:rRNA from 1 species